CUUAUGCGUUGUUGGGUAGGGGAGCGUUCUGUAAGCCUGCGAAGGUGGCCUGUGAGGGUUGCUGGAGGUAUCAGAAGUGCGAAUGCUGACAUAAGUAACGAUAAAGCGGGUGAAAAGCCCGCUCGCCGGAAGACCAAGGGUUCCUGUCCAACGUUAAUCGGGGCAGGGUGAGUCGACCCCUAAGGCGAGGCCGAAAGGCGUAGUCGAUGGGAAACGGGUUAAUAUUCCCGUACUUGGUGUUACUGCGAAGGGGGGACGGAGAAGGCUAUGUUGGCCGGGCGACGGUUGUCCCGGUUUAAGCGUGUAGGUGUGUGUUCCAGGUAAAUCCGGUUCACUUUAACACUGAGGCGUGACGACGAGGCACUACGGUGCUGAAGCAACAAAUGCCCUGCUUCCAGGAAAAGCCUCUAAGCAUCAGGUAACAUCAAAUCGUACCCCAAACCGACACAGGUGGUCAGGUAGAGAAUACCAAGGCGCUUGAGAGAACUCGGGUGAAGGAACUAGGCAAAAUGGUGCCGUAACUUCGGGAGAAGGCACGCUGACACGUAGGUGAAGUGAUUUACUCAUGGAGCUGAAGUCAGUCGAAGAUACCAGCUGGCUGCAACUGUUUAUUAAAAACACAGCACUGUGCAAACACGAAAGUGGACGUAUACGGUGUGACGCCUGCCCGGUGCCGGAAGGUUAAUUGAUGGGGUCAGCGCAAGCGAAGCUCCUGAUCGAAGCCCCGGUAAACGGCGGCCGUAACUAUAACGGUCCUAAGGUAGCGAAAUUCCUUGUCGGGUAAGUUCCGACCUGCACGAAUGGCGUAAUGAUGGCCAGGCUGUCUCCACCCGAGACUCAGUGAAAUUGAACUCGCUGUGAAGAUGCAGUGUACCCGCGGCAAGACGGAAAGACCCCGUGAACCUUUACUAUAGCUUGACACUGAACAUUGAGCCUUGAUGUGUAGGAUAGGUGGGAGGCUUUGAAGUGUGGACGCCAGUCUGCAUGGAGCCGACCUUGAAAUACCACCCUUUAAUGUUUGAUGUUCUAACGUGGACCCGUUACCCGGGUUGCGGACAGUGUCUGGUGGGUAGUUUGACUGGGGCGGUCUCCUCCUAAAGAGUAACGGAGGAGCACGAAGGUUGGCUAAUCCUGGUCGGACAUCAGGAGGUUAGUGCAAUGGCAUAAGCCAGCUUGACUGCGAGCGUGACGGCGCGAGCAGGUGCGAAAGCAGGUCAUAGUGAUCCGGUGGUUCUGAAUGGAAGGGCCAUCGCUCAACGGAUAAAAGGUACUCCGGGGAUAACAGGCUGAUACCGCCCAAGAGUUCAUAUCGACGGCGGUGUUUGGCACCUCGAUGUCGGCUCAUCACAUCCUGGGGCUGAAGUAGGUCCCAAGGGUAUGGCUGUUCGCCAUUUAAAGUGGUACGCGAGCUGGGUUUAGAACGUCGUGAGACAGUUCGGUCCCUAUCUGCCGUGGGCGCUGGAGAACUGAGGGGGGCUGCUCCUAGUACGAGAGGACCGGAGUGGACGCAUCACUGGUGUUCGGGUUGUCAUGCCAAUGGCACUGCCCGGUAGCUAAAUGCGGAAGAGAUAAGUGCUGAAAGCAUCUAAGCACGAAACUUGCCCCGAGAUGAGUUCUCCCUGAGACUUAAAGUCUCCUGAAGGAACGUUGAAGACGACGACGUUGAUAGGC
rnacentral:rRNA from 1 species